GAAAAAUUAAAACACAGUCGUUUUAUCCCUUGAGGAUCGUUCAUUUAAUCCACUCACUUCACUCACACACAGCCUAAUCCAGAAAGCCCUAAUUUCAUUUUUUUCACUUUCUCUCAAUGUUACCCUAAUCCACCACAACUCAUCUAGCCGCCUGACCCUUACACUAAAACCUUAAAGUCCUUCUCACUCACUUCGGCCGCCGUAGCUUUCUUCCAUCUCACACUCACUCCGGCCACCUUAACCUGCUUCCAUCUCAAUUCUUUCCAUCUCUCGCUCUCGGCUCGCCUGGAUCUCACAAGUCACGCUGACCGCCUUAACACACAGUGCUUGACGGAUCCAACACAGUACGAGAACGAAAGCAAUUUUAAGGUGAUGGGUUUGGCUCUUGUUUAUGGAUUUGCUGUAUUGACAAAAAUGUGGAGCUAAAAUUUCAAAUUUUGAUUUGUACUUUUGCAAUUGAAUUGAAGAUACUUAAUUUUCAUUUUCUGCAUUUAAAAUAUAUGAACUGUGUUUAUACAUUUGAACUUUAAAAACUUUCUGAA